UACGAAGGGGGCUAGCGUUGUUCGGAAUUACUGGGCGUAAAGGGCGCGUAGGCUGUGCUGUAAGUCAGGCGUGAAAGGCCCGGGCUCAACCUGGGAAUGGCGCUUGAUACUGCGGCGCUGGAAGGUGGGAGAGGAUGGCGGAAUUCCCAGUGUAGAGGUGAAAUUCGUAGAUAUUGGGAAGAACACCGGUGGCGAAGGCGGCUCACUGGCCCGGUACUGACGCUGAGGCGCGAAAGCGUGGGGAGCAAACAGG
rnacentral:rRNA from 1 species